GUGCAUUUUAAAAUUUGAGAUGCGCUGGUCUAAAACCCUAGUCUCUUCUAUUUUUCUUCCUUCUGUUUCAUCUUAUUCCCCAGUUCUACCCAACCACCCUCAUUGGUAAUCCCUAAUGGCCCAUCCCCAGAAGCAGCUUCCGGUGCCUCCUGAAAUAUUUACCCAAAGGCUUAUCUCUCCAGGCUCCUUCCCUCCGGAUUUCAUUCUGUUUAUAAAUAUUGAAGCUGAAAUGUAAACCACUUUGAAACUCUUCUCCUGAAGGCCUGCAUGUCCUGGUAAGUCUUUACAUUUGCAGAUAUCUAUUGACAAAUCUUAAGCAAAUGAUUUUAAAUGUUUCCACAGGCAUCCUGAGUUUAGCAUUUCCUUUCAUCUUGCCUGGUUGCAGAUUGAGGCUAGGGUUUAUUUUCAAAGCUUGAGGAAUUAAUAAUAUUUCUUAAACCUGGGUUACGGGCACACCCCACCACACCAUGGCAAUGGGAUGUCGUCUCAUGCAGCCUGGUUGCAAAGCCUGGGUCCUUAACCUCUGUGACAGCGAUGGCCGCAAAAGUUGCUUUAUGGAAGUGCCAUUUUUUUUGUCCAUUCACUUAGGUAUUCACUCUUUUGAAAGGCGUGUGAGGGUAUCGGCAUGGCAUAGAGAUGUGGAUGUCAGACCAUCACUAGCGGAGCUGAAAUAAGUACAAAAGUAACCUUAUGAGAUUGAGUCGUGUAAGUGGCAUCAGGGUAUCGGCAUGGCAUAGAGAUGUGGAUGUCAGACCAUCACUAGAGGAGCUGAAAUAAGUACAAAAGUAACCUUAUGAGAUUGAGUCGUGUUGCCUUCGGGUUCAUUGAGUUUAACAACCAUGAUGCAGCCAGAUCUUUGAGGUGUCACCUGCCACCUGAACCCCUUUUCCAGAAUUGUCUAAAGGAAAAGUCCAUGACUUCACCUGUAUCCCUAAAAUUCACGUGUAAUCCAUGACAUUUCACCCAGAUGAACUAGCUGUUGGUUUUUGCAUUUCUUUCUUUCACUCUAUAAGCAAGUUCAUCUAUUCCCAGGUCUAAUAGACACAUGUACUUGAUCAGAAUCUGGCUUUUUUCCCCCCAUGGUUCUUUCAGACUUCUGAUUAAAUUAUAG
ensembl:lncRNA